rnacentral:sRNA from 1 species
CGCUCGGUCCGGAGUCAAUGGGUUACCAUAAUUCACCCCAUUCUGCCAUUGACACCAACUUGACCGUUGC